rnacentral:rRNA from 1 species
CCGGGCGCACGGGUGAGUAACGCGUAUGCAACUUGCCUAUCAGGAGGGGAUAACCCGGCGAAAGUCGGACUAAUACCGCAUGAAGCAGGGGCCCCGCAUGGGGAUAUUUGCUAAAGAUUCAUCGCUGAUAGAUAGGCAUGCGUUCCAUUAGGCAGUUGGCGGGGUAACGGCCCACCAAACCGACGAUGGAUAGGGGUUCUGAGAGGAAGGUCCCCCACAUUGGAACUGAGACACGGUCCAA